GCAAGUCGAGCGCUACCUUCGGGUGGAGCGGCGGACGGGUUAGUAACGCGUGGGAACAUACCCUUUUCUGCGGAAUAGCCUCUGGAAACGGAGAGUAAUACCUUAUACGCCCUUUGGGGGAAAGAUUUAUCGGUGAAGGAUUGGCCCGCGUUAGAUUAGAUAGUUGGUGGGGUAACGGCCUACCAAGUCUACGAUCUAUAGCUGGUUUGAGAGGAUGAUC
rnacentral:rRNA from 1 species